UUCCUCGUGUUUUAUUGUGCUGGUUUCUGGUUCACUCGUGUUCUCUUCUCUCUCUUCUUUUACAAACUCCAUCUUCACAGCAGCAGAUCUCAGUUCAGAUGAUAAACUCCUCCAGAUAUUCCUGCUCGCUUCAAAACUCAGUCACGACUGUGAGGACGAGAUUAUUACAGACUGUGAGCCCUACAACCUACUGCCACCUGAAUGCUACUGUGCCAAUGCUUCGACUAUACUUUGAAGAUGGAUCUGACCAUCACCUCAGCCUCCGGCUUUCACGACAGUCCAUCAUGUCCAUCAUCGCUGCUUUGAAGUCAGACUCUGACCAUGGCUGGGAAAAGGAUAUUGAGGUGCUGGUGUUCCUGUACUGGCUGGCUCAUGCAGCAUCAUAUCGGGUUGUAUCUCUGGCCUUCGACAUCCCAAGGGCCACAGUGCAUGACAUUGUGCACAGAAUCAGCAGGGAAGUCGUCAGUAUUUUGUAUUCCCGACCCUGGACGACCUGGAGGAAGUGGGGGCAGGUUUUUGCUCAACUGGCUGGGUCUUCAGCUUUUUGCAUGGUGGCUGGUGCAAUAGACGGAUUCCACAUCCGGAUCAAGCCACCAGCAAGUGAAGCCCCAUGCUACUUCAACUGAAAGCUGUUCCACUCAGUCCAGCUGCAGUUCUUCACUGACCACAAGGGGAAGUUCAUCGACAUCUUUGUCAGCUCGAGCUCGAGGCCGUGGGGAAGCAGAUUCGCGACCUGGAGGUAAGGCAGGCCCAGCUGAGAGAGUGGAGAGCCGCGCUGGAAUCAUCCCGGGCUGACACUCACAAGUCCAGUGUAAGUAUACAGCAUGCUGUUAACAGUCAAACCACGUCUACUCCGUGUGUUUCUCUGCACAGGCCCGGUGCACACAGGACGCGUUCUUCCCAGAUGUCCUUCACUGCGACGCCGGGACACCACGGACCCUGGGUGCAUCCACAGCGGAGGACGCGAGUCGGGCCCCGGGCGACGACUUCUCCGCCUCCUGCCUUUGAGAUCUCCAUCCGGAACCGCUCUGCUCCCCUCCACGAGACAGGAUGCGACGCUGUGAUCAUCGGAGACUCCAUCGUCCGACACGUAAGUGCUACGUUAGCCGAAAGUAAAGUGUUCUCAAUGUUUCUGCGCAGAUACCCGUGAUCCUGAAGGACGACGAGAGCCCCAGAGC